GAUGAACGCUGGCGGCGUGCCUAACACAUGCAAGUCGAGGGAGAUAAAUGUGAGUGGAGACUUCGGUCAAAGCAAUCAUUUUGAAAGCGGCGGACGGGUGAGUAACGCGUGAGCAAUCUGCCCCAUACAAAGGGAUACCCACUGGAAACGGUGAUUAAUACCUUAUAAGACCACGAAGUCGCCUGGCUUAGUGGCCAAAGAUUUAUCGGUAUGGGAUGAGCUCGCGUCUGAUUAGCUAGUUGGUGAGGUAAUGGCUCACCAAGGCGACGAUCAGUAGCCGACGUGUGAGGGUGAACGGCCACACUGGAAGUGAGACACGGUCCAGGCGCCUACGGGAGGCAGCAGUGGGGAAUAUUGCACAAUGGGCGCAAGCCUGAUGCAGCAACGCCGCGUGAAUGAUGAAGGCGUUCGGGUCGUAAAGUUCUGUCCUAAGGGAAGAAUACAGUGACGGUACCUUAGGAGGAAGCCCCGGCUAACUACGUGCCAGCCGCCGCAGUAA
rnacentral:rRNA from 1 species